GGCUCGAGUUCACUCCCAACCCCUGUGACAUACCACUUGUUGCCUCGGCGGAUCAGCCCGCUCCCGGUAAAACGGGACGGCCCGCCAGAGGACCCCUAAACUCUGUUUCUAUAUGUAACUUCUGAGUAAAACCAUAAAUAAAUCAAAACUUUCAACAACGGAUCUCUUGGUUCUGGCAUCGAUGAAGAACGCAGCAAAAUGCGAUAAGUAAUGUGAAUUGCAGAAUUCAGUGAAUCAUCGAAUCUUUGAACGCACAUUGCGCCCGCCAGUAUUCUGGCGGGCAUGCCUGUUCGAGCGUCAUUUCAACCCUCAAGCACAGCUUGGUGUUGGGACUCGCGUUAAUUCGCGUUCCUCAAAUUGAUUGGCGGUCACGUCGAGCUUCCAUAGCGUAGUAGUAAAACCCUCGUUACUGGUAAUCGUCGCGGCCACGCCGUUAAACCCCAACUUCUGAAUGUUGACCUCGGAUCAGGUAGGAAUACCCGCUGAACUUAAGCAUAUCAAUAAGCGGAGGAAA
rnacentral:rRNA from 1 species